GAAAUGCGAUAAGUAAUGUGAAUUGCAGAAUUCAGUGAAUCAUCGAAUCUUUGAACGCACAUUGCGCCCAUUAGUAUUCUAGUGGGCAUGCCUGUUCGAGCGUCAUUUAAAACCCAUCAAGCCCUAUUUUGUAGCUUGGCGUUGGGGGAUUCCCGGGCCCCGUCCCGGAAACCCCUUAAAUCUAUCGGCGGAGUCGUGGCGACCCCAAGCGUAGUAAUUCUUCUCGCUUCAGGUGUCGGCGCCGGCGUCCUGCCGCUAAACCCACUAUAGUUUUUUGAGACUUGACCUCGGAUCAGGUAGGAAUACCCGCUGAACUUAA
rnacentral:misc_RNA from 1 species